UACGUAGGGGGCAAGCGUUGUCCGGAUUUAUUGGGCGUAAAGAGCGUGUAGGCGGCCUGACAGGUCUGCUGUGAAAACUCGAGGCUCAACCUCGAGAUGUCGGCGGAAACCGUCUGGCUAGAGUCCGGAAGAGGAGAGUGGAAUUCCUGGUGUAGCGGUGAAAUGCGCAGAUAUCAGGAGGAACACCAAUUGCGAAGGCAGCUCGCUGGAACGUAACUGACGCUGAGACGCGAAAGCGUGGGGAGCAAACAGG
rnacentral:rRNA from 1 species